rnacentral:lncRNA from 1 species
AAUCUGCUCUAUAGUUAUCUAAUCUCUUUCUUUUUCCUACCUCCCCUACGAAGGGAAGUACAAAGGAAGCUGCUUCGAAGUUGAAGGGGCUCGUCCAUUCACUAUAUGUCUGUAAUCUCAUACAUAAAGAGGAAGAUUAAAAACUCAUCGAUCUCCUUACCGCUCCGUGGGGGUCUUCAUUCACUCUUCUCUUACUUUCCCUACUUCUAGAAAAAAAAAAGAAAUGUUGAACAAAAACGAUCUUUCUAAAGUUAAGGCAGCAGAUCGGUCGGCUGCGGGACGGGGCCGGGAGCAGCAGUAGGAAGAAGGACGCGAGUUCCUUCAGGGCAAAGGGCAUACCUGAAAUUUAGGUCAUGCAGGAACGCAGAAACGGAACAAAGAAAAGCUUGACGCUAAUCCACUAAAGACUGAACCCAUCAAGCGAACAAGUCGCUAAGGCUUCCACAGACCGAGGCUUAUAGCAAAAGGAAAGACGAUUCUAUCCAAUCACAACCUCGCCAAGUCUCUAAUCAGGGGCUCCAUCAUGUUAGCCAAUACGAAGAGUGGCUGUUCUGUUAAUAGAGUAUAUCACAGCUAAUGCACUCCACGAUUCCGAAUACACCUAUAAGCUCGCCUCAAUCUUAGAUUUUUCCUUUAUAUGCUUUAGUAGAUAGAAAGACUCUUUGACGGGCUACUCCCCAAGCAGAACAACCUCACUGUCUCCCGAAGCAGCCUAGUCACACAAUGCAGUUGGAGCUAGAGACGAGGAUGGCACCGUGAAUGCUUAGCCAGAAUAGACCAAGCUAAGCAAAGAGGAACCUAUCCCAAGCGUAGCAUCAACUAUUAUAUCUUCCCUACUGCUAUAAAGGAAUAAGGAGAGAGACAAUGCAGAGAAGCACUUUUCGAAGAGAGAGAAAGAAACCUCCCUAACUCAGAAAGGCCCAGACUGCGCUGAGGAAAGAAUGGCACUUUACAAAUAAGAAGAGGGGCAAUGAGAGCAGAGAAAGAAAGCUAACCUAAAGGUAAUUAUUUCUCUAAAGGGCGACGGGACCACCCUCUAAGCCUAAGUAUUCCUCAAUGACCG